GGUUUAGAACGUCGUGAGACAGUUCGGUCCCUAUCUGCCAUGGGCGUAGGAAGUUUGAGAAGAUCUGUCCUUAGUACGAGAGGACCGGGAUGGACGUAUCACUGGUGUUCCGGUUGUCGCGCCAGCGGCACCGCCGGGUAGCCACAUGCGGAAAGGAUAACCGCUGAAAGCAUCUAAGUGGGAAGCCCACCUCAAGAUGAGUAUUCCCAUGGCUUAAGCCAGUAAGGUCACGGGCAGAACACCCGUUGAUAGGCUCUAUGUGGAAGCGCAGUAAUGCGUGAAGCAGAGGAGUACUAAUAGACCGAGGGCUUGAC
rnacentral:rRNA from 14 species